AGAGGUUGAUCCUGGCUCAGAGUGAACGCUGGCGGCGUGCUUAACACAUGCAAGUCGAACGGUAACAGGGACUUCGGUCUGCUGACGAGUGGCGCACGGGUGAGUAAUAUAUAGGUAACGUGCCCUUCAGUCUGGGAUAGCCACUGGAAACGGUGAUUAAUACCGGAUAUUCCCCUUCGGGGGGAAAGGUUUUUCGCUGAGGGAUCGGCCUAUUUCGUAUCAGCUAGUUGGUGAGGUAAGAGCUCACCAAGGCGAUGACACGUAGCGGGUUUGAGAGGAUGAUCCGCCACACUGGUACUGAGACACGGACCAGACUCCUACGGGAGGCAGCAGUGAGGAAUAUUGCACAAUGGGGGAAACCCUGAUGCAGCAACGCCGCGUGGAGGAUGACGCAUUUCGGUGUGUAAACUCCCUUUUAUCAGGGAAGAAGAUGACGGUACCUGAUGAAUAAGCUCCGGCUAACUCCGUGCCAGCAGCCGCGGUAAUACGGAGGGGGCAAGCGUUACUCGGAAUCACUGGGCGUAAAGCGCGCGCAGGCGGUCUUUUAAGUUGGAUGUGAAAGCCUACGGCUCAACCGUAGAACUGCAUCCAAAACUAUUAGACUAGAGUGUGGGAGAGGAAGAUGGAAUUAGUUGUGUAGGGGUAAAAUCCGUAGAGAUAACUAGGAAUACCAAAAGCGAAGGCAAUCUUCUGGAACAUUACUGACGCUGAGGCGCGAAAGCGUGGGGAGCAAACAGGAUUAGAUACCCUGGUAGUCCACGCCCUAAACGAUGAAUGUUAGUCGUCGGGUAGCUAGUCUAUUCGGUGAUGCAGCUAACGCAUUAAACAUUCCGCCUGGGGAGUACGGUCGCAAGAUUAAAACUCAAAGGAAUAGACGGGGACCCGCACAAGUGGUGGAGCAUGUGGUUUAAUUCGAAGAUACGCGAAGAACCUUACCUAGCCUUGACAUAUAAUAGAACUCCGCAGAGAUGUAGAGGUGCCUUCGGGAGCUUUUAUACAGGUGCUGCACGGCUGUCGUCAGCUCGUGUCGUGAGAUGUUGGGUUAAGUCCCGCAACGAGCGCAACCCUCGUCACUAGUUACUAACGGUUCGGCCGAGGACUCUAGUGAGACUGCCUUCGCAAGGAGGAGGAAGGUGAGGACGAC
rnacentral:rRNA from 1 species